GUGGGGAAUCUUCCGCAAUGGACGAAAGUCUGACGGAGCGACGCCGCGUGAGUGAUGAAGGCCUUCGGGUCGUAAAGCUCUGUCAUCGGGGACGAACGGCCUCAGCAGGUAAUGGCUGGGGAUUGACGGUACCCGAGAAGGAAGCCACGGCUAACUACGUGCCAGCAGCCGCGGUAAUACGUAGGUGGCAAGCGUUGUCCGGAAUUAUUGGGCGUAAAGCGCGCGCAGGUGGGAUCUUAAGUCCAUUUUGAAAGUUCGGAGCUCAACUCCGUGAUGGGAUGGAAACUGGGAUUCUUGAGUACCGGAGAGGAAAGCGGAAUUCCCCGUGUAGCGGUGAAAUGCGUAGAUAUGGGGAGGAACACCAGUGGCGAAGGCGGCUUUCUGGACGGUGUCUGACACUGAGGCGCGAAAGCCAGGGGAGCGAACGGGAUUAGAUACCCGUGUAGUCC
rnacentral:rRNA from 1 species